rnacentral:hammerhead_ribozyme from 1 species
GUACUGAUGAAGAGUCGCAAACCAGGUCGAAACAGCUGUCCAGUAC